GUCUACAGCCAUGCCACCCUGAAUAUGCCCGAUCUCUUCUGAUCUUGGAAGCUAAGCGCAGUCGGGCCUGGUUAGUACUUGGAUGGGAGACCACCUAGGAAUACCAGGUGCUAUAGGCA
rnacentral:rRNA from 1 species